rnacentral:rRNA from 1 species
UACAGAGGGUGCAAGCGUUAAUCGGAGUUACUGGGCGUAAAGGGCGCGUGGGUGGUUAAAUAAGUGAGAUGUGAAAGCCCUGGGCUUAACCUAGGAACUGCAUCUUAGACUGUAUAGCUUGAGUAUUGUAGAGGGUAGUGGAAUUUCCGGUGUAGCGGUGAAAUGCGUAGAGAUCGGAAGGAACACCAGUGGCGAAGGCGGCUACCUGGACAAAUACUGACACUGAGGCGCGAGAGCGUGGGUAGCAAACAGG